CCCAGAGGCACAGAGAGGGAUGUGCCAGGCAGAGCAGGAGCAGCCACGGCCGAGGCAGCGGGAGGAAAGGCCACAGAGGCUCCUUAUGAGAAGUUCCACUCCUUAUUCUUUGGAGCUGUCUCUUACAAGGAGAAGGAGGCUCUUGGUGACACCUUCCAGAGUUUGGUGACAGCCAGUGACACUGAGGAGGAGCUGGGUGCCUUGCAGAGCUCCCCGGUACUGUAGUGCAGGGGUGCAGGGACAGACAGUGAAGAGUGCAGUGCUUUGUCACUGCUGCUGUGACCUAGCAGCACAGAACGUUCUGGAAUUGUCAGUGCUCUUGUAAUGGCACAAAUUUAGGUCAUGACUGACUCUGUUGAGGUUUGUGUGUUCUGCAGGAACUGCUGGGGGUUCUGCUCUCAGAACGCUCUCACUAGAGAGAGGCUCAGUUUGAAUUCAAACUCUGCUACCACAUCAGGCAAAUGAAGCCACUGUUCUGGUUAAGGGUGCUGGAAAAAUAACCCAGCCCAGCUCCAGGAGAACUCAGGUUUUUACAGACUCUGUAGAACCGGGGUUUAACUGAAAAAACAAAGUUGUCACAGAACUGCAUUUUAAAAAAUAAAGUGUUUCAGACUUGCA